rnacentral:rRNA from 1 species
UGGGGAAUGUUGCACAAUGGGCGAAAGCCUGAUGCAGCAACGCCGCGUGAGUGAUGAAGGUCUUCGGAUUGUAAAGCUCUGUCUUUUGGGACGAUAAUGACGGUACCAAAGGAGGAAGCCACGGCUAACUACGUGCCAGCAGCCGCGGUAAUACGUAGGUGGCGAGCGUUGUCCGGAUUUACUGGGCGUAAAGGGUGCGUAGGCGGAUGUUUAAGUGAGAUGUGAAAUACCCGGGCUUAACUUGGGUGCUGCAUUUCAAACUGGAUAUCUAGAGUGCAGGAGAGGAGAAUGGAAUUCCUAGUGUAGCGGUGAAAUGCGUAGAGAUUAGGAAGAACACCAGUGGCGAAGGCGAUUCUCUGGACUGUAACUGACGCUGAGGCACGAAAGCGUGGGUAGCAAACAGGAUUAGAUACCCUGGUAGUCCACGCCGUAAACGAUGAGUACUAGGUGUAGGAGGUAUCGACCCCUUCUGUGCCGCAGUAAACACAUUAAGUACUCCGCCUGGGAAGUACGAUCGCAAGAU